rnacentral:rRNA from 1 species
UAAGCGGAGGAAAAGAAACCAACAGGGAUUGCCUUAGUAGCGGCGAGUGAAGCGGCAAGAGCUCAGAUUUGAAAUCUCACCUAGUGUGCGAGUUGUAAAUUGCAGGUUGGAGUCUCGGGUUAGACGUGUGUGCAAGUCCCUUGGAACAGGGUGCCACUGAGGGUGAGAGCCCCGUAUCGUGCAUGUCGACACCUGUGAGGCCCUUCUGACGAGUCGAGUUGUUUGGGAAUGCAGCUCUAAGUGGGUGGUAAAUUCCAUCUAAGGCUAAAUAUUGGCGAGAGACCGAUAGCGAACAAGUACUGUGAAGGAAAGAUGAAAAGCACUUUGAAAAGAGAGUGAAACAGCACGUGAAAUUGUUGAAAGGGAAGGGUAUUGGGCUCGACAUGGGAUUUACGCAUCGUUGCCUCUCGUGGGCGGCGCUCUGGGUUUUUCCUGGGCCAGCAUCGGUUUUCGUUGCAGGARAAGGACAAUUGGAAUGUGGCUCCUCGGAGUGUUAUAGCCUUUUGUAGAUGCUGCGUAUGGGGACCGAGGGCUGCGGCGGACUCGUU